AUUGAACGCUGGCGGAAUGCUUUACACAUGCAAGUCGAGCGGCAGCGCGGCCUUCGGGCUGGCGGCGAGCGGCGAACGGGUGAGUAAUGCAUCGGAACAUGCCCAGUCGUGGGGGAUAACACUUCGAAAGAAGUGCUAAUACCGCAUACGUCCUGAGGGGGAAAGCGAGGGAUCGCAAGACCUCGCGCGAUUGGAGUGGCCGAUGUCAGAUUAGCUAGUUGGUGGGGUAAAGGCCUACCAAGGCGACGAUCUGUAGCUGGUCUGAGAGGAUGAUCAGCCACACUGGGACUGAGACACGGCCCAGACUCCUACGGGAGGCAGCAGUGGGGAAUUUUGGACAAUGGGGGCAACCCUGAUCCAGCCAUUCCGCGUGAGUGAAGAAGGCCUUCGGGUUGUAAAGCUCUUUCGGCAGGAACGAAACGGUGGGCUCUAACAUAGUCCGCUAAUGACGGUACCUGAAGAAGAAGCACCGGCUAACUACGUG
rnacentral:rRNA from 1 species